GAUGAACGCUGGCGGCAGGCCUAACACAUGCAAGUCGAGCGGAAGAGCUUCUUCGGAACCUUGAGAGCGGCGCACGGGUGCGUAACACGUGUGCAACCUACCUUUAUCUGGGGGAUAGCCAUUAGAAAGGAAGAUUAAUACCCCAUACUAUAAUGAUUGUCAUCCAUUAUUAUUGAAAACUACGGUCGAUAGUGAUGGGCACGCGCAAGAUUAGAGAGUUGGUGAGGUAACGGCUCACCAAGUCAAUGUUCUAUAGGGGUCCUGAGGGGGAGAUGCCCCAGACUGGGACCGAGACACGGACCAGACUGCUACGGGACGGAGCGGUAAGGAAGAUAGGAGUAGGGAGGAUAGCCUAAUCCAGCCAUCCCGCGUGAAGGAUGACGGUGCUAGGGAUUGUAAACUUCUUUUGUACAGGGAUAAACCUACCCUCGGGAGGGUAGCUGAAGGUACUGUACGAAUAAGCACCGGCUAACUCCGUG
rnacentral:rRNA from 1 species